CUGAACAAGACAAUGAUGGUUCAUUCCAAGCACAUAUCCUAAUUAUUGUGUGGACAACAACUUGCUGAGUCUUGUGCCAG